CCCUUAGAUGUUCUGGGCGGCCCGCGCACUACAAUGGCGUGUGCAGCGAGUGCCGAAGAAGAGUUUUCCGAGGUAUUCUUGCAAUGCUCGUUUUGAUGGGGAUAGACCCUUGCAACUGUUGGUUUUGAACGAGGAAUUCCUUGUAAGCAUGGUUUAUCAUCCGACGCUGAAUGCGUCCCUGCCCUUUGUACACACCGCCCGUCGCUCCUACCGAUGAGUCGUCCGGUGAAGUUCGUAGACCUCGUGAUCGCGGAUCACUGGGGGAAGCAAAAUGAACCUCGCGGUUUAGAGGAAGGAGAAGUCGUAACA
rnacentral:rRNA from 1 species